rnacentral:lncRNA from 13 species
GCGCAGGAAAACACACCUUUGAACUGAGAGCGCACGCAGGGCUACAGAGACAAUUUAAAGCUGUGGUUCUAGCCUACAGUUUGAUUUAUAGCCUUGGCCACUAUUAUAUAACAUAUCUCCAGUUUUAACCCGCCUCCAUAUGUGACAGUUAUUUUUUGUCUCAGUGCCACUAAACAAAUUGACUUCUCCUCCCUUCUGUCCCUUCCUUGCCUUUUGUAUUUUUCUCUUGCUUGUUGGUUUUGUCUGUGAAGCCGCCGGAUGACCAGAGCACGGAUUUCACCUCGUCCUUGAGAGAGACAGGAGAGAUAAGAAUAGAGAGAGCGCGACACACACACAUUACUCCUACACACAGCGACCGAUCCGACAUCGAAACACGAGGAAGACGCAAUCACCGAGACCCGAGUGCCUUGGAGCGAGGAGCUUACACCCACCCACCCCUCUCUCUCUCUCUCUCUCAGCCCCAGCCAGAAGCCAGUGGGAGAAGAGCUAGCUUCCAGAGCUUUGGACUGGGCUAAAUAGCGUUUGCCAAGACAUGAAUUAUAAGACUAAUGUGCUUAAGUGGCUUGUCCUAACAUUGUCUUCUGUUACCAGCGCCCAGUCAGGCUUAGGGAGAAUAACACGAAUAGAAUGGGCCCAAUAUACCCCCAGUUCCUUUUUGAGGUCAGGAUUAAGAAUUCAUAAAAGGAACCGCUAACUUUUUCUAUUUUUUUUUUUUUUUGUACGGAUCCGCAAAGCAUUCAAUUGUUAUUCAAUUGAGAGAUAUGCCUGCUUUUAUUCCAGAGACGCUUUUCUGUGAGUGAGUCGUUACAAUAUCUGUCGCUACAAGAAAGAAAAUCUGCUUCAUAAUCCUAAACAGGGACAGAAACACAUUCCCUAAGAGGAAGGAAACAAAAUGUACUGUUGAAUAUGUUCACGAAUAACAAUACGAUGAAAGUAAGUAAGGCGGGUUGUGUUUGAAUCGGGUAAACGUUGGUAUCUCUAUACACGGUGUUAAGUCUAUGAAUUUAUUGGACCUUAUACUGUGGUGGAAUGGGAGGAGUUGGGAUUCUGCAGCUGUGUCUUCUGUUUAAACAGUGACUGCCAUUUACAUUUACUCUGUUGCUUUUUGAAAGCUCAUGACCGGCCUGAUGUAGCCUGCCUUCAUAUUGUGAUUGACAAGACACAAUAACAGUCUUAUGAUUUAUGAUUGGAGAAUGAAUGGCUGCACUGCUUUGUAAGUCUCCUCUGUCUCUUAUCUUCGGACCUCUUAUAGUGGCUGGACGGGUGUACACAUCUGAAUCCUAAAUUGAAAUCCUCACAGGAACCUUGUAAUGGGGCUCCCAAGUGGCGCAGCGGUCUAAGGCACUGCAUCUCAGUGCUAGAGGCAUCACUACAGACACCCUGGUUUGAAUCCAGGCUGUAUCAUAUCCAGCCGUGAUUGGGAGUGCCAUAGGGCGGCGCACAAUUGGCCCAGGGUUGUCUGGGUUUGGCCGGUGUAGGCCGUCAUUGUAAAUAAGAAUCUGUUCUUAACUGACUUGCCUAGUUAAAUAAAAAAUAAAAUGUCUAACAACACAUGAUUUACACAAAGGUCUGUGUAAGGCUCAUGUUUUUUCAGUCAUCUUCCAAAUUACAGUACGACUUUUGUGUGUAAAGUUACGCAUACAGUGUCUCCGUGCUCCUACAAAAAUGAGUUCAUAGUUUGUUCCUCUACCUUUUAAGUCAGCAAAGCAGCACUUUUUCAGUCCUUUGUGCAUCAACUCCUCAAAAAUGAGGCCCACUCGCUUAGAUCAAACAGAAACCACUUCCCUUGUGCCAAAGAAAACAGUCCGUAUUCUCCGAUAGCUUCUUUAUUGUUAUCAACGUAUAGCCACCUUCUUUGCUCUUCUGGGACCUUCUCUCUCAGACUAAACACUCCUGGGGGUUCUAACAUGAACCAUCUC